GGAUUUUUUUCCAUUAAUUUACAAGGUUUCAUUAAAUGAUAAUGAAUCAAUCGAUUCAAACGUUUGUUUAAGCGUUGGGUUGCGAUUUAGCAUGUAAGUAUAAACAAUUGGGGUCUUAAUCACGAAAACGAUCGGCAGCUGUAUCACGUAUUUCGCAGACAAUUAGCAGAAGACAAAUAUUGUGCAAAUAUUGCUGUCAACUGUCCAUUUCGUAUUACGGACUUACAACAAAAAAGCAGAUCGCGGACCAUCACUAGUGCUGCCUCUGCAGAGCGAUUUGUGAAACUUUAGUGCAUUCUUUUCCAUACAACUAACAACAACUGGCUUAAAGUCGGUAUUACGGAUGCUUUUGUCUGCCACACAACAACAGAUAUUUAGCAAUUUCGUUUGUCAAAUUUGCGACACCUUUUGUAUCUGGUGCUGAAUUGUUGCUAACUAUCUGCAAGUGUAAAAUUUGUGAAAUUAAAUUAUUUUAACUUGAUUUAGGUAUGUAUGGACAGAGCUCAAAUAAUGGGGCUUUGGAGUCUAAGGAAAUUAGGUGGGAUACAUACGAAUCAGUGCGUUUGCGACGCUGUCUUCGGGAUCAAGCCUGACCCCUUAAUCUAUCGGAAAGUUUGUUCAGAACACAUUACAGAAUUUCGAAACAUCAAUAUUUACAAUUGUGCUCUGAAUUAAAGCCGUUAAUAACCUAGAUCAUCAAGACGAAUAAGAAUAGAAAGUAAAAUGCAAGGUGUUAACAGCAUUGCAAAAUUUCAUACCAGAAACCUGUGGGAAUGAGCUUUUUGCAUUUUGAGUUAAACUAGUAAAUCCAAUGCCAUUAGGGAAGUGGCUAUGGCAUUAAACAAUCUUCCAGUUUUAUUGAAACAUUUAAAGUUUCUGCAAACAGUACAAUGGGUCACAAGUUAUUAUAAAUGGGUUUUACAAUAAAUUUGGCUUUCCUGGGGUUUCGGGGUGUAUAGAUGGCACUCAUUUGCACUUAUCAGAUCUUCUGUAUAUGAAGAAAGGUUUUAGAACCGCAAGCAUUAUCAUUUCAAGAAUGUGCAAAUAGUAAGUAUUUUGCUGAAGCCUAUCAUUCACAAUAACAAACAUUUGAUAGUACUUAUCUAAAGAAUUAAAUUUUUCAGAUAUGUGAUAGUGAUCUUAACAUUUUUAGUAUUGAUGCAACAUUUCAUGAUACAUUUGUCCGGCUUAUCACAACUGAAUAUGCCUAUGCAGGACCUGCACCAUAAUAGUGAAAAAGUUUGGUUUUUAGGCAAGUAAAACAUCAUGAGCUCUGUCUCAGUAACCUGACUACAAAAUAAUACUCAAUCUAAAAGUAUAUUUAAAACUGGGAAGGCAGUUAAUAUAUAGUACUAUAGUAAUGUUUAUUGUCAUACCAGGAACACUGUUGACCAUUGUGAGUAUUGAAAGCCAGUUGGAGAUGCUUGUUGGUACAUAGAGUACUGCAUUAUGAUCAUCAUAUUAUGAUGGCCAAGACCAUAAUUGUUAGCUUGUAUUGCACUUACCACUACACCAGACGGCCGUUAGAUAAGUUUGAUAAUUAUUAUUUUUGUGUAAUUUUGUUUUAUUUGAAUAAUAAUUCUUAAAUUAGGAAAUCGUAGUUUGUUUGUAAUACAUGUCCAACUUCUCGCCGCAUGAAAUUGAAGCCACAAUUGAAAUAUAAUAGCGACUGCCGAUAACUUCAAAGAAAUAUAACUGAACUUGGGGCCGAGGUAAGUAGGAUGAUAGCAAGGUGAUAGCUCUAUAACCCUAUAGACUAGAAGCAGAACAUGCCAAAUACUGUGAGUACAAAAUAUACAAUGAAGCUAAAUACUGGUAUUCUACUGGUGGUAGGACCACUUGUGAGUCCGCACGAGUAGGUACCACCGCCCCGCCUAUUUCUGCCGUGAAGCAGUAAUGCGUUUCGGUUUGAAGGGUGGGGCAGCCGUUGUAACUAUACUGAGACCUUAGAACUUAUAUCUCAAUGUGGGUGGCGCAUUUACGUUGUAGAUGGCUAUGGGCUCCAGUAACCACUUAACACCAGGUGGGCUGUAAGCUCGUCCACCCAUCUUAGCAAUAAAAAAAUAAAUAGUCAUUUUGAAAUGCUAAGUUGAGAGUAGUUUUAUUAGCGUAAAAUAUACUCAUUAGUGUCAUAAAAUUAGUGUAGUACCAGCCUAAAGUAAAACGUAUAUAUUAUUAUUUGGAUUUGCUUGACUAUUGUAACAAGCGCUAUUUCGUUUUUAUGGUAAUAUAAACUAUUAUGGACUCUGCUAAAAUUAAAACAAAAUUGAACUUAUUAUUUUAAACAAGGUUUUUGCCGAUAUUGGUCAAUUCCUUGAAUUUUUUUAUAUAUCUCAGCUGGAAGAUGCGCGGCCUCUGCCUGCGUACGAGCAGCCUCUGCUGAAAUGAAAGCUGCAUGAGCCAGUGGUUCGCCUUAGUUUCCAUUUUCUCCUCUUUCUACAACUACAGCUCACGAUGUGUCUACUCUUGUUUGUUGUCCGCUAUAGUCUAGAUAAUAUAAUGAUUGAUUAACAUUCUUACUGCAGUGAGUGAGUGCAAAGAGUACCUGGUUAAUGAAUAAAAAUAACUUACUAAAUAUCGGCCUGAUAUUUGCAAUGAAGCUUCUCUUAAGAUGGCUUCGUCGACGAAAAACUGGGCUAAUUAUAAAAAUAAAUAUUUAUUUAUUGUCUUAAAA